rnacentral:rRNA from 1 species
AACCUGGUUGAUCCUGCCAGUAGUCAUAUGCUUGUUUUCAAGAUUAAGCCAUGCAUGUCUAAGUAUAAAUGAAUAUACAGUGUAAACUGCGAACGGCUCAUUCAAACAGUUAUAAGUUAUUUGAUAUUUCGGAUACACCAAUAUGGAUAACCGUAGUAAUUCUAGAGCUAAUACAUGCGUUACGGGCGACUUCUCGGAAGCCCAGUAUUAUUAGAUAUUUCAAACCAUCAUUCCGCAAGGUCUACUGAGAUGAUUCAUGAUAACUAGUCGAAUGCCGGUUCUUCCGGCAUAUGUCAUUCAUGUUUCUGCUUCCCAUCAGCUAGAUUGUAGUGUAUUGGACAACAAUGGCAUUCACGGGCAACCGGGGGAUUAGGGUUCGAUUCCGGAGAGGGAGCCUGAUAAACGGCUACCACUUCUACGGAAGGCAGCAGGCGCGAAAAUUAUCCAAUCCUGACUUAGGGAGGUAGUGUAAAAACUAAUAAUGAACUGGGAUUAUUUUUUUAUCCUGGGAUCACAAUGGGCUUGAUUUGCAAAUUUUUUUAUUAUUAGCGAGGAACAAUUGGAGGGCAAGUCUGGUGCCAGCAGCCGCGGUAAUUCCAGCUCCAAUAGUGUAUAUUAACGUUCCUGCAGUUAUUCGAUGCUCGUAGUUGGAUUUCUGGGGGUUGAGUUAGGAGGGUGGCUAUUGCCAUCGCCGAUCUCAUCCCUCGUCCGCCUGUUAACUGUGCUCGAGAUUGACUUCUCGACGCAGGGCUCAGGCACUUUGAUAUAUUUACCCUUUUUAUAUAAAUAAAGUUACACUCUCAUUAUGGCGUGAGCUAUCAAGUCACAAUGGAGUCAAUUAACUUAUUCUUCUUUUUGAGCAAAUUAUAGUGUUUCAGGCAGGCGUGCGCCGGAAUACAUUAGCAUGGAAUAAUCUUACGGACCGUGCGCGGGUUCGCCCGCUUCUCCUUAUUUGUUGGUUUCUUUAAGGACACGGAAUGAUUAAUAGGGAUAGUUGAGAGUUUUUCUCACCAGGGGAGGCAUUAGUAUUUAAUUUCCAGAGGUGAAAUUCUUUGAAAUUUUUUUAAGACUAACUUAUGCGAAAGCAUUUUUUUUUUAUCUGCCAAGAAUGUUUUUUUUAUUAUCGAACAGAACGAAAGUUAGGGGAUCAAAGACGAUCAGAUACCGUCCUAGUCUUAACCAUAAACGUUGCCGACUAGGGAUCGGAGGGCGUGCACAUUCCGCCUUCGGCACCUUACGAGAAAUCAUAAGUAUUUUGGGUUCUGGGGGUAGUAUGGUCGCAAGGCUGAAACUUAAAGGAAUUGACGGAAGGGCACCACCAGGAGUGGAGCUUGCGGCUCAAUUUGACUCAACACGGGAAAUCUUACCAGGUCCAGACAUAGGAAGGAAAUUGACAGAUUGAUAGCUCUUUCUUGAUUCUAUGGGUUGAUUCGGUGGUGCAUGGCCGUUCUUAGUUGGUGGAGUGAUUUGUCUGGUUAAUUCCGAUAUUUUUUUAAUACAAACGAACGAGACCUCAGCCUGCUAAAUAGUUAUCAGUCUUUUAUGUGCUUGCACAACCGAGACUGACCAACUUCUUAGAGGGACUUUGUGCGCAAUCAGAAAGGAAGUUUGAGGCAAUAACAGGUCUGUGAUGCCCUUAGAUGUCCUGGGCCGCACGCGUGCUACACUGAUACGUACAACAAGGUAUUAUUACUUUUUUUAGGCUACUCCGAAAUAGAUUAUCAUUUGGCUAAAUCUCCAAUACGUAUCGUGCUGCGGAUAGAUCGUUGUAUUCAAUAAUUAUGGAUCUUGAAGGAGGAAUUCCUAGUAAGCGCAAGUCAUCGGCUUGCGUUGAUUACGUCCCUGCCCUUUGUACACACCGCCCGUCGCUCCUACCAAUUUCGAGUGGCUCGGUGAGCCUUUCUUCUCUCGACCUCGUGGUAACACGUAAUGUACGAAGAAUUGCAAACCUGGUCACUUAGAGGAAGGAGAAGUCGUAACAAGGUUUCCGUAGGUGAACCUGCAGAAGGAUCA